UCAUUAGUUUUUUAAUUGAAAGCUUGUAUGAAUGGUUUGAUGAAAAAAUUUCUUUCUAUAUUUAAUUUAUUAAAAAAUUUAUUUUUAAGUUAAAAAGCUUAAAUAUUUAUAAAAGACGAGAAGACCCUAUAGAGUUUUAUAUAAAUUAAAAUUUAAUUUUUUAGAAUUUAAUAUUUUUAAAAUUUAUAUAAUUUGAUUGGGGUGAUUGAAAAAUUAAAAUAACUUUUUUUAUUUAAGAACAUUAAUUUAUGAAUAUUUGAUCCAUUAAAAUGAUUAAAAGAACAAAUUACCUUAGGGAUAACAGCGUUAUUUUUUUUUAAAGUUCUAAUCGAAAAAAAAGAUUGCGACCUCGAUGUUGGAUUAAAAUUAAUUUUAGGUGUAGAAGCUUAAA
rnacentral:rRNA from 1 species